UUUUAGUAACUUGUAAUUUUGAGUUGGUGUGACCGAUCAGCUGAUGCCUUUAAUAUGUACGAUCUGUACCGCUAAUUCUGACGUUUGGUGUUAGUACUGCGACUCGUGUAACCCUAUUUUGCCUUGUGUUUUAUGUACCACUAAGUAUUUGCUCUGCGUAAUUUGUAGUUUGCUAGUAUACUACAAUCAAAAGAUUUGUUGAUUUAUAAUCAUGCCAGGACAUUAUUGUGCAGUGAAAAAUUGUACAAACAAUUCUGUGAAAAAUAGAAGUCUAAAUUUGGAAAAUGUAGAUCCAUGUCUAAGUUUCCACUCUUUUCCGCAAAACGCUAACGUUCGAAAAAUGUGGGAAAAAUAUUGUCAGCAAGAUGAUGAAUGGCAGUCAAAGAAAACUUCUAGAAUAUGUUCAAUUCAUUUUGAAGAAUUGAACAUAUGAAAUGAGAUAUAAAAAUGAAGUUCUUAAAGGCCCACUCCGACAGCGACUCAAAGCAAAUGCAAUCCCCAGCAAACCAUUGGUUUUUACUCCACCCUUGAAUGUGGUUGAUUCAUGUAAUCCACCAGAGACCGAAGAAGUGCAUCAAGCAAAAGUAGUUUAUUUAGAAGCAGAAAUAAAAAAUCUCCAAACGCAAAUUACAACACUCACUGAUGAGAAACUUCAACAGCAGCAAUAUAUUUCGUAUUUAGAGAAGAAAAUAAAAGAUUUGGAACAAGGAUUUACAAAUCGGAAACAAAUAAUUAAUGUUGGAGAAUUAUCAAAAAUGUUUUCUCCAUCAUUAACGGAAAAUCAAAUUAAUUUAUUACUUAAAAGGAAAGCAAAAGUCAGAUGGACAAGUGAUGAAAUAUCUAAAGCUGUGUUGAUCAUGAUUAUUCAUUGCCACCAUGGGUGAGCCAUGUUUCAUAUGGUGGUUUAACUGAACCCUCAGAUCUGCUGAAGCAGGAGUGUCGAUUAUUGAAUCAUAGGUUUAAAGUAAUAAAUAGAAACAAAAAAUUUCGUUUUAAGAAAAAAAUUGUUACUCGGAUGACCAAUUUGUUAAAAAAUAUGGUGGAGCUCCCAGAAGAAAUCACAAGGGCUUUUUUAAAACAGAGAACUUUAAUUAGAAUUAAAUAUUUAAAUAAUAAAUCUGAAAAUAAACAAAAGUAUAAAAAAUUUAAAAAAUU